rnacentral:rRNA from 1 species
CGGGGGGGCAAGCGUUGUUCGGAAUUACUGGGCGUAAAGGGCGCGUAGGCGGCCUGCUAAGUCGGAUGUGAAAUCCCUCGGCUCAACCGAGGAACUGCAUCCGAUACUGGCGGGCUGGAAUCCGGGAGAGGGAUGUGGAAUUCCAGGUGUAGCGGUGAAAUGCGUAGAUAUCUGGAGGAACACCGGUGGCGAAGGCGGCAUCCUGGACCGGUAUUGACGCUGAGGCGCGAAAGCUAGGGGAGCAAACGGGAUUAGAUACCCCGGUAGUCCUAGCCCUAAACGAUGAGUGCUUGGUGUGGCGGGUAUCGAUCCCUGCCGUGCCGAAGCUAACGCAUUAAGCACUCCGCCUGGGGAGUACGGUCGCAAGGCUG